AUUGAACGCUGGCGGCAGGCCUAACACAUGCAAGUCGAGCGGGGUUUUCGGACCUAGCGGCGGACGGGUGAGUAAUGCGUAGGAAGCUACCCGAUAGAGGGGGAUACCAGUUGGAAACGACUGUUAAUACCGCAUAAUGUCUACGGACCAAAGUGUGGGACCUUCGGGCCACAUGCUAUCGGAUGCGCCUACGUGGGAUUAGCUAGUUGGUGAGGUAAUGGCUCACCAAGGCGACGAUCCCUAGCUGGUUUGAGAGGAUGAUCAGCCACACUGGAACUGAGACACGGUCCAGACGCCUACGGGAGGCAGCAGUGGGGAAUAUUGGACAAUGGGCGCAAGCCUGAUUCAGCCAUGCCGCGUGUGUGAAGAAGGCCUUCGGGUUGUAAAGCACUUUCAGUAAGGAGGAAGCGUUGAGUGUUGAUAGUACUCAGCGUUGACGUUACUUACAGAAGAAGCACCGGCUAACUCUGUGCCAGCCGCCGCCGUAAGAC
rnacentral:rRNA from 1 species